rnacentral:rRNA from 1 species
CUUUGAUUAUGGCUCAGGAUGAACGCUGGCGGCGUGCCUAACACAUGCAAGUCGAACGGGGACAGGAUGAAACCUAGUGAUUCCUGUCUUAGUGGCGGACGGGUGAGUAACGCGUGGGUAACCUGCCUUGUACUGGGGGAUAACACCUGGAAACAGGUGCUAAUACCGCAUAAGCGCACAGGAUCGCAUGGUCCGGUGUGAAAGGGAGAAGCCUUCGGCAUCUCCGGUACAAGGUGGACCCGCGUCUGAUUAGCCAGUUGGGGGGGUAACGGCCCACCAAAGCGACGAUCAGUAGCCGGCCUGAGAGGGUGAACGGCCACAUUGGGACUGAGACACGGCCCAAACUCCUACGGGAGGCAGCAGUGGGGAAUAUUGCACAAUGGGGGGAACCCUGAUGCAGCAACGCCGCGUGAGUGAAGAAGUGAUUCGUUAUGUAAAGCCCUAUCAGCAGGGAAGAAAAUGACGGUACCUGAGUAAGCAGCCCCGGCUAACUACGUGCCAGCAGCCGCGGUAAUACGUAGGGGGCAAGCGUUAUCCGGAUUUACUGGGUGUAAAGGGAGCGUAGACGGCCACGCAAGUCUGAAGUGAAAUGCCAGUGCUCAACACUGGAACUGCUUUGGAAACUGCUUGGCUGGAGUGCAGGAGAGGUAAGUGGAAUUCCUAGUGUAGCGGUGAAAUGCGUAGAUAUUAGGAGGAACACCAGUGGCGAAGGCGGCUUACUGGACUGUAACUGACGUUGAGGCUCGAAGGCGUGGGGAGCAAACAGGAUUAGAUACCCUGGUAGUCCACGCGGUAAACGAUGAUUACUAGGUGUCGGGGGGUUAUAACCCUUCGGUGCCGCCGCAAACGCAAUAAGUAAUCCACCUGGGGAGUACGUUCGCAAGAAUGCAACUCAAAGGAAUUGACGGA